UACAGAGGGUGCGAGCGUUAAUCGGAAUUACUGGGCGUAAAGCGUGCGUAGACGGUUAUUUAAGUCGGGUGUGAAAGCCCCGGGCUCAACCUGGGAAUUGCAUUCGAGACUGAAUAGCUAGGGUACGGUAGAGGGAAGCGGAAUUUCCGGUGUAGCGGUGAAAUGCGUAGAUAUCAGGAGGAACACCGGUGGCGAAGGCGGAUCUCUGGGCCAUUACUGACGCUGAGGAGCGAAAGCGUGGGGAGCGAACAGG
rnacentral:rRNA from 1 species